AAGCAUGAUGAGGGCACUUUCUAAAAAUCUCCAUAAAUCUUUCUCAGCUCUCACAUAUUGACUCUCCUUCAAAAUGAGAAAAGGAAGUAAUAAUAUUUCUAAGCUU